AAACUUUCGAGCUCUGAGCACUGGAGA
rnacentral:piRNA from 2 species